ACAACCUCAAGCUGGCCUACCAGGACAAGGUGGUAUUCCGCUCGCUGGUGGGCAUUUCGUGGAUGUGGUUCUUCGGCGUCGUGUUCCUGGCCAACUUCCCCAGUUUUGCCAAAGAGGUGUUG
rfam:Paucibacter sp. KCTC 42545, complete genome.